UACGGAGGGUGCGAGCGUUGUCCGGAAUCACUGGGCGUAAAGGGCGCGUAGGCGGCCUGAUAAGUAGGGGGUGAAAUCCUGCGGCUUAACCGCAGGGCUGCCUUCUAAACUGUCAGGCUAGAGCACAGUAGAGGCAGGUGGAAUUCCCGGUGUAGCGGUGAAAUGCGUAGAGAUCGGGAAGAACAUCGGUGGCGAAGGCGCUCUACUGGACCACAACUGACACUCAGGGACGAAAGCCAGGGGAGCGAACGGG
rnacentral:rRNA from 1 species